rnacentral:rRNA from 1 species
AGCGAACGCUGGCGGCAGGCCUAACACAUGCAAGUCGAACGGAAGCACAGUAAGUGCUUGCUCUUACGGGUGGCGAGUCGCGGACGUGAGAGGAAUAUAACGGACUCUACUCUUUCGUGGGGGUUAACGUAGGGAAACUUACGCUAAUACCGCAUACGACAUUCGGUUGAAAGCAGGGGAUCUUCUGACCUUGUGCGAAUGAAUGAGCGGAUGUUGUAUUAGCUAGUUGGCGGGGUAAAGGCCAACCAAGUCGACGAUCCGUAGCUGGUCUGAGAGGAUGAUCGGCCACACUGGAACUGAGACACGGUCCAGACUCCUACGGGAGGGAGCAGUGGGGAAUAUUGGACAAUGGGCGCAAGCCUGAUCCAGCCAUACCGCGUGGGUGAAGAAGGCCUUCGGGUUGUAAAGCCCUUUUGUUGGGAAAGAAAAGCAGCAGGUUAAUACCCCGCUGUACUGACGGUACCCAAAGAAUAAGCACCGGCUAACUUCGUG